GGGAUUGCCUCAGUAACGGCGAGUGAAGCGGCAACAGCUCAAAUUUGAAAUCUGGCCCCAUCGGGGUCCGAGUUGUAAUUUGCAGAGAGUGCUUCGGGCGAGGCCUCGGUCUAAGUCCAUUGGAACAUGGUGUCAGAGAGGGUGAGAAUCCCGUAUGCGACCGUGGCUCGAGCCCAUGUGAAGCCUCUUCGACGAGUCGAGUUGUUUGGGAAUGCAGCUCAAAAUGGGUGGUAAAUUUCAUCUAAAGCUAAAUACUGGCUGGAGACCGAUAGCGCACAAGUAGAGUGAUCGAAAGAUGAAAAGCACUUUGGAAAGAGAGUCAAACAGUACGUGAAAUUGUUGAAAGGGAAGCGCUUGCAACCAGACCUGCCCGUAGGCGAUCAGCCGCUGUUCUCAGCGGUGCACUCGCUCUGCGAUCAGGCCAGCAUCGGUUUCGGCGGUCGGAUAAAGGCCUUGGGAAUGUAGCUUCUCUUCGGGGGAGUCUUAUAGCCCUCGGUGCAAUGCGGCCAGCCGGGACCGAGGACCGCGCUUCGGCUAGGAUGCUGGCAUAAUGGUUGUAAGCGACCCGUCUUGAAACACGGACCAAGGAGUCUAACAUCUAUGCGAGUGUUUGGGCGUCAAACCCAUGCGCGGAAUGAAAGUGAACGGAGGUGAGAACCCUUUAGGGCGCAUCAUCGACCGAUCCAGAUGUCUUCGGAUGGAUUUGAGUAUGAGCAUAGCUGUUGGGACCCGAAAGAUGGUGAACUAUGCCUGAAUAGGGUGAAGCCAGAGGAAACUCUGGUGGAGGCUCGCAGCGGUUCUGACGUGCAAAUCGAUCGUCAAAUUUGGGUAUAGGGGCGAAAGACUAAUCG
rnacentral:rRNA from 1 species